ACUGGGCUGAUGUGUUGUGCAUGGAUAUUUUCACCGUUGAUGCAUCUUUCAGGUUAAUAAGAUAGUUAAUGUUGUACUGAAUCGAGGUUUGACUUGCUUUUUUUUAAAUAGUCAUUCUUUCAUAUGAUGAAGAAAUAUUUGGGAAUAUCAUUUAUUUAUGGACUUCUUUACCAUCAACUAUUUUCUCUCCGAGUUAUCAAACCUCCACUGCAUUGAAUGGGUAUAGCCUAUACAUAUGGUUAAUUGGUGAAUUUUAUGUGAAGUGCAAUAUUGUAACUUCAGUGCUUUCUGUUCAGUUAAGCUUGGUUGCUACUUUAAGUUCUGCUCACUUGUAUGCAAGAUGUAAACGUUGUGCUAAUGUGGCUCAGAGGUUUUUGAAAUUGAGGAGGAUUUUUGGCAUGCAAGAGUUUACAACCAAUCAGGAACUAAGAAAUAAUUCAAGAAGCCAUUAAGAGCUCGAAUGGAGACUCAAAGAUGGAUGGAAAAGGAGACGGAAGGAAUGGAGACUCAAAGA